AUCAUACCAGUCCUCUAUGUUGGUGCUAAUAUUGCCAGCACUUUACAGAUUAGGAAAGUGAAGGGCGGGUAAAGGAACCUGUCCAUGGUCAUAACAGUGUGUGGCAGAGCCAGGGUCAGAAUCCAGAAACUUUGACUCCUGAUCAAACUGCUUCUGUUGUUUGAGUUUCCAUUUUACUGGGCAGACCUUGUCAUUCCAGGAAGGGCUUAAUGCGUUAGAAUUAUUUAUAUCACAUGUGAUUAUAUCUCCUGGGAUCUAUGAUUGACUCUAUGAGUUAAUCAUAGCUGUGUCAAUGUACAUCUUUGCAUUUUAAUUCUUAGCUGCAAAAGAGGGAAGAUGAACCAAAUGCUCUCCCAGGAUUUUCCAGUACUGUGAACAGUCUGUAAGCCCGUGGAGUUCACUUUCACUCAAGCAGUUUACCGGAUGUCACUUGACGGCCUGACAAAGGGAAAUUGGUUAAAAUUGUAGCAGAAGACUAGUGUCCAGAUUGUUUGGAAGUGUGAAGGAAGGAUCCCAGGAGAAAGAGCUGAGCAAGACAUCUGUGGUAAUAAAACAAUCAAUAAAAUUGAAUCCAAGAAGGUGACUAUUCAGGAUAUCCUGUUGACACUGCAAAGCCACUGAUGAUGUGAAAAUUACAAUAGCAUUCCAUUUCUUACUUUCAUUUGGUUGCCAAAUAAAUGCAAAUUAAGAACUAGGCUUAGUUGAGGUAGAUUCUUCAACCUUUAACCACAGGAUUUUCUGUUGGUGUGAAAUAUCUUUAGACACUAUAUGGAGAGAGAUACCUCUUUGAAUGACAAAAAAAUUAUCUUCUGUGAACAGAUAUAAGAAGAGACUCCUAAAUCCAGUGCAGAAAGUAGUGGAGUCUGCGUAUUUCAGUAUGUUGCUAGGUGUACAAGUGGGAACAACAACAAAGAUGGAGCUUGGGGGAGAAGAGAAAUAGUCAAAAGAACUAGGAGAAUAACAUUCUUUCAUUGGCCUGCAAGCUAGCCCUAUGUACCAAAUCUGGUCCACUAGCUAGUUUUGUAAAUAAAGUUUUAUUGGUACACAACACUCCUUUUAUUAUUCAUUUAUUUAUUUAUUUUUUGUGUUUGUUUAUGGCUGAUUUUCUGCUAUAAUGGCAGAGUAAAUUGCUGCAAAAACUGUCUGGCCUUCAAAGCUUAAAAUAUAUACUAUCUGGCCCUUUAUUUAAAAAGUCAAUGAAUUAA
rnacentral:lncRNA from 1 species